UCAAAUGCUUUCAUAACAGUGUCAUGAAUAUUUUUCUCUCACUGAAUCUUCUCCCACUGAGGUGUCACUCACAGAAGCUUCUCCCACUAAACCCAUUGAAGAUGGUGCACUGAGCAACAAGCCAGUUUCACACAGGGAUCAGGUUGCAAUUGCUAUAGAGGUAGCCAAUCUCAGGAGAGAGCGAGAUGCUGCACUGCAGAACUGUUCUAUGGAGCCAUUGUCUGUGAGUGUGGUUUGAGGCAACAAUAGUGCAUGCAUGGCUAUGACUGGGCUCAGCUGGGCAGUGUUUGACUGUCUUCAUCGUUACCUUGUUCAUUUUGUCAAGUCACAAUGUUACGUUUUUAAAAUAUCUACAGAGCAACAGCUUUUCCUCUGUUUGCUCAAGCUACGCCAGAAUCUAUCAAUGGCUUUGCUGAGCCAAAUACUGGACCUACAACAGUCUACCAUCCGCAACAUUUUCCAACGUUGGCUGAAUCUUCUGUAUGCGAAGAUUACCUUCCUCAUUCACUGGUCUGAAAGGAAAUGCAUCAUACAAACCAUGCCACCAAUGAAGGCCACAUUUCCUCAUCUCACGUCAAUUGUUGAUUGCUUUUAAAUCAGAAUUGAACAUUCAAAUGCCCUCAAAGCCAGGUAUACACCAAAGAAAUAUGUAAUUCAUGAUUCCUUGGCAAGGUAGCUUUUGAACACUAACCAUUUUAGUUUUCUUAAUGUUUUCUACAGGGCAAAAAUUUACUCAAGUUACAAUAAGUGGACUACAGUCAAGUAUUUCAUUGCAUGUAGUCCUGCAGGCAACAUCAGCUUCUUGUCCAAAGGAUGGGGUGGAAGAGCAUCUGAUGUUAAAAUAGUGAGGGUAUCUGCCUUCCUUUCACCACUGUACCACCGUCCUGGGGACCAGAUCUUGGCUGAUUGGGGUUUUACCCUUAAAGACGACUUUGCCUUACUUGGUGCCAAUCUCGAAACCCCAGCCUUCACUCGUGGCAGGAAACAACUCCCAGAACAUGUGAUUGGUGUCCUGAAGCUCAGAUUCCACAUCCUGGAUGGGCCACUUCCUAUUCUGUUUGUGAAGUCCCUGCAGGUUGAGAUAGAGAACAGGGAUGUAGCUACCACUGACAAGAUAGUACGUGUGCUGCUUUAAUUAACAUGUCAGGCAGCGUUGUGUUUAACAAGAACAGAAAAGGUGAUGUUUAAAAACAUUUAAAUGUAUAUACAUAUACACUUUUAGAGCAACAGUGUAUAUUGCUGCACACAAUGUGGUUCAUCUAGAAAGCUAAUGGUUCAUCUAGAAAGUCUUUAUUAAACAUCUUAAGUAUUGCUUUCCAAAUAAUUAUUGUAAAUACUCUUCUUGCCGUUCCCUUAAAGAGGCACUAUGUAACUUUCCAUUAAUUUGUCCUGGUAUAGUCCUGAGUUACAUAUUGGGAAAUGUCGAUUUUGCUCUUCUACUAUUUCCUAUAUUUUGUAUUAUUUAAGGUGAUGUUUUCAACCACUAGAUCCAACAUGCUAGUUCCUAGAGUUUACUAGUCCUAAAACCUCGUUUUUGUAUUUGUUUGUAGUUUUCAUAAAAGUUACAUAGUGCAGGUUUAAAUCUUGCUGCCUAAACACCAUUUUACCAUUGUCUACCUUACUGCACUGUUUUCCACCUAGCACUGUCUCAUGGCUCCAACUCAUUCUCCUGUAAAUUAGAAGGAAUCAUUUGAAAUGUAUUGUUGUAGUGACUUUCAUAAUUCAUACAAAUUAAAAUUCUGAGAUCUCAAAUCAAGAAUGUGUGAUUCUGUUUUCUCCACGUGUCUACACAUUUUUGUUUAUUUUACCUGUAG